AUACGGAGGGUGCAAGCGUUGUUCGGAAUCACUGGGCGUAAAGGGCGCGCAGGCGGUUUGGUAAGUCAGAUGUGAAAGCCCACGGCUCAACCGUGGAAGUGCAUUUGAAACUGUCAGACUUGAGUACUAGAGGGGAAAGUGGAAUUCCCGGUGUAGAGGUGAAAUUCGUAGAUAUCAGGAGGAAUACCGGUGGCGAAGGCGACUUUCUGGCUAGAUACUGACGCUGAGGCGCGAAAGCGUGGGGAGCAAACAGGAUUAGAAACCCCAGUAGUCC
rnacentral:rRNA from 1 species